rnacentral:rRNA from 1 species
UACGGGGGGGGCAAGCGUUGUUCGGAAUUACUGGGCGUAAAGGGCUCGUAGGCGGCCAACUAAGUCAGACGUGAAAUCCCUCGGCUUAACCGGGGAACUGCGUCUGAUACUGGAUGGCUUGAAUCCGGGAGAGGGAUGCGGAAUUCCAGGUGUAGCGGUGAAAUGCGUAGAUAUCUGGAGGAACACCGGUGGCGAAGGUGGCAUCCUGGACCGGCAUUGACGCUGAGGAGCGAAAGCCAGGGGAGCAAACGGG